AAAGGAAUUGACGGGACCUCGCACAAGCGGUGGAUCAUGUGUUUAAUUCGAUGAUACGCGAAGAACCUUACCAGGUCUUGACAUCCCCCGCAAUGCUAUGGAGACAUAGCGGAGGUAUUCGGGGAGACAGGUGGUGCAUGGUUGUCGUCAGCUCGUGUCGUGAGAUGUUGGGUUAAGUCCCGCAACGAGCGCAACCCUUAUUGCUAGUUACCAUCAUUGAUUGGGGACUCUAGCGAGACUGCCAGUGAUAAACUGGAGGAAGGUGGGGAUGACGUCAAAUCAUCAUGCCCCUUAUGACCUGGGCUACAAACGUGAUACAAUGGCUGAAACAGAGGGAGGCGAAGGGGUGACCUGGAGCGAAACCCAGAAAAACAGUCUCAGUUCGGAUUGAAGUCUGCAACUCGACUUCAUGAAGUCGGAAUCGCUAGUAAUCGCGGAUCAGAACGCCGCGGUGAAUACGUUCUCGGGGUUU
rnacentral:rRNA from 1 species